rnacentral:rRNA from 1 species
CACUAUCGUUAACUGAAUACAUAGGUUAACGAGGCGAACCGGGGGAACUGAAACAUCUAAGUACCCCGAGGAAAAGAAAUCAACCGAGAUUCCCCCAGUAGCGGCGAGCGAACGGGGAGCAGCCCAGAGUCUGAAUCAGCUUGUGUGUUAGUGGAACGGUCUGGAAAGUCCGACGGUACAGGGUGAUAGUCCCGUACACCAAAAUGCACAGGCUGUGAACUCGAAGAGUAGGGCGGGACACGUGGUAUCCUGUCUGAAUAUGGGGGGACCAUCCUCCAAGGCUAAAUACUCCUGACUGACCGAUAGUGAACCAGUACCGUGAGGGAAAGGCGAAAAGAACCCCGGCGAGGGGAGUGAAAAAGAACCUGAAACCGUGUACGUACAAGCAGUGGGAGCACCUUCGGGUGUGACUGCGUACCUUUUGUAUAAUGGGUCAGCGACUUAUAUUCUGUAGCAAGGUUAACCGUAUAGGGGAGCCGCAGGGAAACCGAGUCUUAACUGGGCGUUAAGUUGCAGGGUAUAGACCCGAAACCCGGUGAUCUAGCCAUGGGCAGGUUGAAGGUUGGGUAACACUAACUGGAGGACCGAACCGACUAAUGUUGAAAAAUUAGCGGAUGACUUGUGGCUGGGGGUGAAAGGCCAAUCAAACCGGGAGAUAGCUGGUUCUCCCCGAAAGCUAUUUAGGUAGCGCCUCGUGAACUCAUCUUCGGGGGUAGAGCACUGUUUCGGCUAGGGGGUCAUCCCGACUUACCAACCCGAUGCAAACUACGAAUACCGAAGAAUGUUAUCACGGGAGACACACGGCGGGUGCUAACGUCCGUCGUGAAGAGGGAAACAACCCAGACCGCCAGCUAAGGUCCCAAAGUCAUGGUUAAGUGGGAAACGAUGUGGGAAGGCACAGACAGCCAGGAUGUUGGCUUAGAAGCAGCCAUCAUUUAAAGAAAGCGUAAUAGCUCACUGGUCGAGUCGGCCUGCGCGGAAGAUGUAACGGGGCUAAACCAUGCACCGAAGCUGCGGCAGCGACACUAUGUGUUGUUGGGUAGGGGAGCGUUCUGUAAGCCUGCGAAGGUGUGCUGUGAGGCAUGCUGGAGGUAUCAGAAGUGCGAAUGCUGACAUAAGUAACGAUAAAGCGGGUGAAAAGCCCGCUCGCCGGAAGACCAAGGGUUCCUGUCCAACGUUAAUCGGGGCAGGGUGAGUCGACCCCUAAGGCGAGGCCGAAAGGCGUAGUCGAUGGGAAACAGGUUAAUAUUCCUGUACUUGGUGUUACUGCGAAGGGGGGACGGAGAAGGCUAUGUUAGCCGGGCGACGGUUGUCCCGGUUUAAGCAUGUAGGCUGGUUGUCCAGGCAAAUCCGGAUAAUCAAGGCUGAGGUGUGAUGACGAGGCACUACGGUGCUGAAGUAACAAAUGCCCUGCUUCCAGGAAAAGCCUCUAAGCAUCAGGUAACAUCAAAUCGUACCCCAAACCGACACAGGUGGUCAGGUAGAGAAUACCAAGGCGCUUGAGAGAACUCGGGUGAAGGAACUAGGCAAAAUGGUGCCGUAACUUCGGGAGAAGGCACGCUGGUGUGUAGGUGAAGUCCCUGCGGAUGGAGCUGAGACCAGUCGAAGAUACCAGCUGGCUGCAACUGUUUAUUAAAAACACAGCACUGUGCAAACACGAAAGUGGACGUAUACGGUGUGACGCCUGCCCGGUGCCGGAAGGUUAAUUGAUGGGGUUAUCCGUAAGGAGAAGCUCUUGAUCGAAGCCCCGGUAAACGGCGGCCGUAACUAUAACGGUCCUAAGGUAGCGAAAUUCCUUGUCGGGUAAGUUCCGACCUGCACGAAUGGCGUAAUGAUGGCCAGGCUGUCUCCACCCGAGACUCAGUGAAAUUGAACUCGCUGUGAAGAUGCAGUGUACCCGCGGCAAGACGGAAAGACCCCGUGAACCUUUACUAUAGCUUGACACUGAACAUUGAGCCUUGAUGUGUAGGAUAGGUGGGAGGCUUUGAAGCGUGGACGCCAGUCUGCGUGGAGCCAACCUUGAAAUACCACCCUUUAAUGUUUGAUGUUCUAACGUUGGCCCCUGACCGGGGUUGCGGACAGUGUCUGGUGGGUAGUUUGACUGGGGCGGUCUCCUCCCAAAGCGUAACGGAGGAGCACGAAGGUUAGCUAAUCCUGGUCGGACAUCAGGAGGUUAGUGCAAUGGCAUAAGCUAGCUUGACUGCGAGCGUGACGGCGCGAGCAGGUGCGAAAGCAGGUCAUAGUGAUCCGGUGGUUCUGAAUGGAAGGGCCAUCGCUCAACGGAUAAAAGGUACUCCGGGGAUAACAGGCUGAUACCGCCCAAGAGUUCAUAUCGACGGCGGUGUUUGGCACCUCGAUGUCGGCUCAUCACAUCCUGGGGCUGAAGUAGGUCCCAAGGGUAUGGCUGUUCGCCAUUUAAAGUGGUACGCGAGCUGGGUUUAGAACGUCGUGAGACAGUUCGGUCCCUAUCUGCCGUGGGCGCUGGAGAAUUGAGGGGGGCUGCUCCUAGUACGAGAGGACCGGAGUGGACGCAUCACUGGUGUUCGGGUUGUCAUGCCAAUGGCACUGCCCGGUAGCUAAAUGCGGAAGAGAUAAGUGCUGAAAGCAUCUAAGCACGAAACUUGCCCCGAGAUGAGUUCUCCCUGAGACUUUAAGUCUCCUGAAGGAACGUUAAAGACGAUGACGUUGAUAGGCCGGGUGUGUAAGCGCAGCGAUGCGUUGAGCUAACCGGUACUAAUGAACCGUGAGGCUUAACCUU